CCAUCAGAAGGGGAUAACACUUGGAAACAGGUGCUAAUACCGUAUAACAAUCAAAACCGCAUGGUUUUGAUUUGAAAGGCGCUUUCGGGUGUCGCUGAUGGAUGGACCCGCGGUGCAUUAGCUAGUUGGUGAGGUAACGGCUCACCAAGGCCACGAUGCAUAGCCGACCUGAGAGGGUGAUCGGCCACAUUGGGACUGAGACACGGCCCAAACUCCUACGGGAGGCAGCAGUAGGGAAUCUUCGGCAAUGGACGAAAGUCUGACCGAGCAACGCCGCGUGAGUGAAGAAGGUUUUCGGAUCGUAAAACUCUGUUGUUAGAGAAGAACAAGGAUGAGAGUAACUGUUCAUCCCUUGACGGUAUCUAACCAGAAAGCCACGGCUAACUACGUGCCAGCAGCCGCGGUAAUACGUAGGUGGCAAGCGUUGUCCGGAUUUAUUGGGCGUAAAGCGAGCGCAGGCGGUUUCUUAAGUCUGAUGUGAAAGCCCCCGGCUCAACCGGGGAGGGUCAUUGGAAACUGGGAGACUUGAGUGCAGAAGAGGAGAGUGGAAUUCCAUGUGUAGCGGUGAAAUGCGUAGAUAUAUGGAGGAACACCAGUGGCGAAGGCGGCUCUCUGGUCUGUAACUGACGCUGAGGCUCGAAAGCGUGGGGAGCAAACAGGAUUAGAUACCCUGGUAGUCCACGCCGUAAACGAUGAGUGCUAAGUGUUGGAGGGUUUCCGCCCUUCAGUGCUGCAGCUAACGCAUUAAGCACUCCGCCUGGGGAGUACGACCGCAAGGUUGAAACUCAAAGGAAUUGACGGGGGCCCGCACAAGCGGUGGAGCAUGUGGUUUAAUUCGAAGCAACGCGAAGAACCUUACCAGGUCUUGACAUCCUUUGACCACUCUAGAGAUAGAGCUUCCCCUUCGGGGGCAAAGUGACAGGUGGUGCAUGGUUGUCGUCAGCUCGUGUCGUGAGAUGUUGGGUUAAGUCCCGCAACGAGCGCAACCCUUAUUGUUAGUUGCCAUCAUUCAGUUGGGCACUCUAGCAAGACUGCCGGUGACAAACCGGAGGAAGGUGGGGAUGACGUCAAAUCAUCAUGCCCCUUAUGACCUGGGCUACACACGUGCU
rnacentral:rRNA from 1 species